GCCUUGUUAGCUUGGUGGGUGGCGCGUCUGCCUUCUAAGCGCUAAGCCGCGGGUUCGAUUCCCGCCCGGGGCG
rfam:Asian citrus Psyllid, Diaphorina citri - Florida Strain, whole genome shotgun sequence.